AGUUAGCCGAUGAGUCCCAAAUAGGACGAAACGCACAUCAUGGAU
rnacentral:hammerhead_ribozyme from 1 species